GACGAACCGAGCGAACGUUGUUCGGAAUCACUGGGCUUAAAGGGCGCGUAGGCGGGCAUCCAAGUCUGUGGUGAAAUCCCGCGGCUCAACCGUGGAACUGCCUUAGAUACUGACGGCCUCGAGGGAGGUAGGGGCGAGCGGAACUGUGAGUGGAGCGGUGAAAUGCGUUGAUAUUCACAGGAACUCCGGUGGCGAAGGCGGCUCACUGGCCCGGUACUGACGCUGAGGUGCGAAAGCGUGGGGAGCAAACAGG
rnacentral:rRNA from 1 species